UUUCGCAAUGCCCGAAAGGGUGACGAAGCGACGCCGCGUGUGGGAAGAAGGCCUUCGGGUUGUAAACCACUGUCGGGAGUUAGGAAAUGCAGGUGCGUUAAUAGCGCACUUGCUUGACUAAGGCUCCAGAGGUAGCCACGGCUAACUCUGUGCCAGCAGCCGCGGUAAUACAGAGGCGGCAAGCGUUGUUCGGAAUUAUUGGGCGUAAAGAGCACGUAGGCGGCCUUGCAAGUCAGUUGUGAAAGCCUUCCGCUUAACGGAAGAACGGCAUCUGAUACUACAGGGCUUGAGUACGGGAGGGGGGAGUGGAACUUCUGGUGGAGCGGUGAAAUGCGUAGAUAUCAGAAGGAACGCCGGCGGCGAAAGCGACUCUCUGGUCCGAAACUGACGCUGAGUGUGCGAAAGCUAGGGGAGCAAACGGGAUUAGAUACCCCGGUAGUCCUAGCCGUAAACGAUGGGCACUAAGUAGAGGGGUUUU
rnacentral:rRNA from 1 species